rnacentral:rRNA from 1 species
UACGGAGGGUGCGAGCGUUAAUCGGAAUUACUGGGCGUAAAGCGCACGUAGGCGGUCAGGCAAGUCGGGUGUGAAAGCCCUGGGCUCAACCUGGGAAUUGCAUUCGAAACUAUCUGACUCGAGUAUGGGAGAGGGAAGCGGAAUUUCCGGUGUAGCGGUGAAAUGCGUAGAUAUCUGGAGGAACACCGGUGGCGAAGGCGGCAUUCUGGACCGAUAUUGACGCUGAGGAGCGAAAGCCAGGGGAGCAAACGGG